UACGAAGGGGGCUAGCGUUACUCGGAAUUACUGGGCGUAAAGGGCGCGUAGGCGGCGCUCCCAAGUUAGGCGUGAAAGUCCUGGGCUCAACCUGGGAACUGCGCUUGAUACUGGAGUGCUUGAGGAUGGAAGAGGGUUGUGGAAUUCCCAGUGUAGAGGUGAAAAUUCGUAGAUAUUGGGAAGAAACACCGGUGGCGAAGGCGGCAACCUGGUCCAUUACUGACGCUGAGGCGCGACAGCGUGGGGAGCAAACAGG
rnacentral:rRNA from 1 species